GUGAGGAAUAUUGCGCAAUGGAGGCAACUCUGACGCAGCCAUGCCGCGUGCAGGAAGAAGGCGCUACGCGUUGUAAACUGCUUUUAACCGGGAAGAAACCCCAGGACGUGUCCUGGGUUGACGGUACCGGAGGAAUAAGCACCGGCUAACUUCGUGCCAGCAGCCGCGGUAAUACGAAGGGUGCAAGCGUUAUCCGGAGUCAUUGGGUUUAAAGGGUGCGUAGGCGGAGCGUUAAGUCAGUGGUGAAAUCCUGCAGCUUAACUGUAGACUUGCCAUUGAUACUGGCGCUCUUGAGUGCGCUUGAAGUGGGCGGAAUGUGCCGUGUAGCGGUGAAAUGCUUAGAUAUGGCACAGAACACCAAUUGCGAAGGCAGCUCACUAAGGCGAUACUGACGCUGAGGCACGAAAGCGUGGGGAUCGAACAGGAUUAGAUACCCUGGUAGUCC
rnacentral:rRNA from 1 species